AAGACCUUGCGCUUUUGGAGCGGCCGAUGCCUGAUUAGCUUGUUGGURAGGUAAARGCUUACCAAGGCUUCGAUCAGUAGCUGGUCUGAGAGGACGACCAGCCACACUGGGACUGAGACACGGCCCAGACUCCUACGGGAGGCAGCAGUGGGGAAUUUUGGACAAUGGGGGCAACCCUGAUCCAGCCAUGCCGCGUGAGUGAAGAAGGCCUUCGGGUUGUAAAGCUCUUUCAGCCGGAACGAAACGGUUACGGUUAACACCCGUGACUACUGACGGUACCGGAAGAAGAAGCACCGGCUAACUACGUGCCAGCAGCCGCGGUAAUACGUAGGGUGCGAGCGUUAAUCGGAAUUACUGGGCGUAAAGCGUGCGCAGGUGGUUUUGUAAGUCAGAUGUGAAAGCCCCGGGCUCAACCUGGGAACU
rnacentral:rRNA from 1 species